rnacentral:rRNA from 1 species
UACGAAGGGGGCGAGCGUUGUUCGGAAUUACUGGGCGUAAAGGGCGCGCAGGCGGCUCUGAAAGUCAGAUGUGAAAGCCCCGGGCUUAACCUGGGAAUUGCAUUUGAUACUCUGGAGCUUGAGUACGGGAGAGGAGAGUGGAAUUCCCAGUGUAGAGGUGAAAUUCGUAGAUAUUCGGAAGAACACCAGUGGCGAAGGCGGCUCACUGGCCCGGUACUGACGCUGAUGUGCGAAAGCGUGGGGAGCAAACAGG